GUGAACCUGCGGAAGGAUCAUUGUCGAGACCGAAAUAUAUCGAGCGAUUCGGAGAACCUGUGAACGAGCCGCGGCACCCGCCGCGGCGCAACUGCCGUCUCCAUCGUCGGCCUCAUCAAUGGGGCCGCGAUGAGAAGGCGGAUGAAAACCCAAACCGGCGCAGCCACGCGCCAAGGAAAUACGAAUAGACACGAGCCUGUAUCGGGCUCGGUGGCGUGGAGUGCAGUCGCAUACCACACGGUCAAACGACUCUCGGCAAUGGAUAUCUCGGCUCUCGCAUCGAUGAAGAGCGCAGCGAAAUGCGAUACGUGGUGCGAAUUGCAGAAUCCCGCGAACCAUCGAGAAUUUGAACGCAAGUUGCGCCCGAGGCCAGCCGGCCAAGGGCACGUCUGCCUGGGCGUCAAGCGUUGCGUCGCUCCGUGCCAGCUCCGCCCCACCCGACGGGUGCGGUGUACGGGGGAGGGCCGGAUGUGCAGAGUGGCUCGUCGUGCCCGCGGGCACGGCGGGCUUAAGAGCGGGUGAUCUUCUCGUUGGCCACGAACAACAGGGGGUGGAUGAAAAUUGUGCCUGUGUUGUAUCGUUCCGGCGUGAGGAGAUUGUACCCAGCGGAUGAUCCCAGCCCAAGCGUCGUUCCACGGACGUCGGCUUGGAAUGCGACCCCAGGAUGGGCGAGGCCACCCGCUGAGUUUA
rnacentral:rRNA from 1 species